GAUGAACGCUGGCGGCGUGCUUAACACAUGCAAGUCGAGCGAGUGAGUUCUUCGGAACGAUCUAGCGGCGGACGGGUGAGUAACACGUGGGCAACCUACCUCAUAGAGGGGAAUAGCCCCCCGCAAGGGAGAUUAAUACCGCAUAAAAUUAUCGAGUGGCAUCACAUGCUAAUCAAAGGAGCAAUCCGCUAUGAGAUGGGCCCGCGGCGCAUUAGCUAGUUGGUGAGGUAACGGCUCACCAAGGCGACGAUGCGUAGCCGACCUGAGAGGGUGAUCGGCCACAUUGGGACUGAGACACGGCCCAGACUCCUACGGGAGGCAGCAGUGGGGAAUAUUGCACAAUGGGGGAAACCCUGAUGCAGCAACGCCGCGUGAGUGAUGAAGGUCUUCGGAUUGUAAAGCUCUGUCUUUGGGGACGAUAAUGACGGUACCCAAGGAGGAAGCCACGGCUAACUACGUGCCAGCCGCCGCCGUAA
rnacentral:rRNA from 1 species